rnacentral:tRNA from 1 species
GGAGACGUGGCCGAGCGGCUGAAGGCAACGGUUUGCUAAACCGUCAUAGGUGUUAAAGCUUAUCGAGGGUUCGAAUCCCUCCGUCUCCGCCA